rnacentral:tRNA from 1 species
AGCGAGUAUAUGCCUGAACUUAAAAGGAUUAUUGUGAUACGAUAAAUAAUGUACCUUGGUACUUUUAC